rnacentral:rRNA from 1 species
GAUGAACGCUGGCGGCGUGCCUAACACAUGCAAGUCGAACGGAGAUUCCGGACGGAAGUUUUCGGAUGGAAGACUGUACUUCUUAGUGGCGGACGGGUGAGUAACGCGUGGGCAACCUGCCCUAUACAGGGGGAUAGCAGCUGGAAACGGCUGGUAAGACCGCAUAAGUCGGUUAAAUCGCAUGAUUUGAUCGGGAAAUGAGCAAUCAGGUAUAGGAUGGGCCCGCGUCCGAUUAGCCAGUUGGCAGGGUAAAAGCCUACCAAAGCGACGAUCGGUAGCCGGACUGAGAGGUCGGACGGCCACAUUGGGACUGAGACACGGCCCAAACUCCUACGGGAGGCAGCAGUGGGGGAUAUUGCACAAUGGAGGAAACUCUGAUGCAGCGACGCCGCGUGAGUGAAGAAGUAUUUCGGUAUGUAAAGCUCUAUCAGCAGGGAAGAUGAUGACGGUACCUGACUAAGAAGCCCCGGCUAACUACGUG